CGCCAGGACCCGCGCAAUGCACCGACACCGAACCCCGCCAGGCCCGGAAGGGAGCAACGGUAGGUACACGGACAUGUGCCGCGGUAAGCCUGGCGGGA
rnacentral:SRP_RNA from 1 species